rnacentral:ncRNA from 1 species
AAACUUACACAUGCAAGUCUCAGCAGACCCGUGAGGACGCCCUUUACCCUACACCAGACCUAGGAGCUGGCAUCAGGCAUUAAAUUUACCCAUUACGCCUAGUCCCACCACGCCCAUAAGGGCCUUCAGCAGUGAUAAAUAUUGUUUAUAAGCGACAGCUUGACUCAGUUAUAGGAAAGAGAGCUGGCUAACUCGGUGCCAGCCGCCGCGGCUAAACCGCACGAGCCCAAGUUGAUAAUUACCGGCGUUAAGCGUGAUUAAAGACCCCCCCAUCAAUUAGAGCAAAAUCUGUAUUCAGCCGUGACAAGCUUAUACCAGAGAAAAAUAAAAACGAAAGUUGCCCUAAUCCACUUGAAUACACGACAGUUGGGAAACAAACUGGGAUUAGAUACCCCACUAUGCCCCACCGUAAAAUAUUAACCUACACUAAAAACGCCAGGGUAUUACGAGCCUCAGCUUAAAACCCAAAGGACUUGACGGUGUCCCACCCAACUAGAGGAGCCUGUUCUAUAAUCGAUAACCCCCGAUAUACCUAACCCCAUUUUGCAGAUCAGCCUGUAUACCUCCGUCGCAAGCUUACCAUAUGAAUGCCAACAGUAAGUCCAAUGGUCACACACCAACACGUCAGGUCAAGGUGCAGCUUAUAAUAGGGCAAGCAAUGGGCUACAAUUUCUAAUAUAGAAUAUACGGAAUGCCACCUGAAACACAACAUGAAGGCGGAUUUAGUAGUAAAAAUGAAAUAACGUGUCCUUCUUAACAAGGCCCUGGGACGUGUACACACCGCCCGUCACCCUCUUCAAUAAUACACCACCCGUUUAUUACAACUCAAUAUAUACUAGAAGAGGCAAGUCGUAACAUGGUAAGUGUACCGGAAGGUGCACUUGGAUUACCAAAGUAUAGCUUAAGCAAAGCCUCUCGCUUACACCGAGAAGACAUCCGUGAAAACCAGAUUAUUUUGAGCCUAAAAUUAAGCCUAAUUCAACCUCAUGCAUCUUUACCCCAACAAACCUUAAUAAAACAUUUUAUCAGUUUAGUAAAGGCGAUUAAAAAACUUAUUAGCGCUUUAUUGCAAGUACCGCAAGGGAAAAAUGAAAUAGCUUUGAAAUAGAACUUAAGCAAUUUAUAGCAGAGAUUACCCCUCGUACCUUUUGCAUCAUGGUUUAGUUAGUCUCACUCAAGCAAAACGAAACAUCAGUUUGACCCCCCGAAACUAAGCGAGCUACUUUUAAACAGCUCAAUGGAGCCAACCCGUCUCUGUUGCAAAAGAGUGGGAUGAUUUUUAAGUAGAGGUGAAAAGCCUAACGAGCUUAGAGAUAGCUGGUUAUUCAGAAAUAGAAUUUUAGUUCAACCUUAAGUUUUCUUAUUUUACACAAAACUACCACAAACUUAAGAGCUAUUCAAAUAAGGCACAGCUUAUUUGAAAAAGGAUACAACCUACAAAAAAGGGUAAAAAUAUUAUACAAACCAAGUUGGCCUGAAAGCAGCCAUCUUUAAGAAAGCGUUAAAGCUCCUCUCUUUUCCUUAAUAAUCCCUCUAAAUAUAUUAAACCCUUCAUUAUUACUGAAUGAUUCUAUAACUUAUAGAAGUCCUGAUACUAAAACUAGUAACAAGAAAAAGUUUUUUCUCCAAAAUAUAAGUAUAAGCCUUACUGGACAAACCAUUGGCAGUUAACGUUUAUAAAAUCACUGUAGUAACCCCACGAGAAAAUUCUACAAAUACAAACGUUAAUCUUACACAAGCAUAUUGCAGGAAAGAUAAAAGAAA